GGGGGAUAUUGCGCAAUGGGGGCAACCCUGACGCAGCAACGCCGCGUGAAGGAUGAAGGUUUUCGGAUUGUAAACUUCUUUUAUUAAGGACGAAAAAUGACGGUACUUAAUGAAUAAGCUCCGGCUAACUACGUGCCAGCAGCCGCGGUAAUACGUAGGGAGCAAGCGUUGUCCGGAUUUACUGGGUGUAAAGGGUGCGUAGGCGGCUUUGCAAGUCAGAUGUGAAAUCUAUGGGCUCAACCCAUAAACUGCAUUUGAAACUGUAGAGCUUGAGUGAAGUAGAGGCAGGCGGAAUUCCCCGUGUAGCGGUGAAAUGCGUAGAGAUGGGGAGGAACACCAGUGGCGAAGGCGGCCUGCUGGGCUUUGACUGACGCUGAGGCACGAAAGCGUGGGUAGCAAACAGGAUUAGAUACCCUGGUAGUCCACGCUGUAAACGAUGAUUACUAGGUGUGGGGGGUCUGACCCCUUCCGUGCCGGAGUUAACACAAUAAGUAAUCCACCUGGGGAGUACGGCCGCAAGGUUGAAACUCAAAGGAAUCGACGGGGGCCCGCACAAGCAGUGGAGUAUGUGGUUUAAUUCGAAGCAACGCGAAGAACCUUACCAGGUCUUGACAUCCAACUAACGAAGUAGAGAUACAUUAGGUGCCCUUCGGGGAAAGUUGAGACAGGUGGUGCAUGGUUGUCGUCAGCUCGUGUCGUGAGAUGUUGGGUUAAGUCCCGCAACGAGCGCAACCCUUGCUAUUAGUUGCUACGCAAGAGCACUCUAAUAGGACUGCCGUUGACAAAACGGAGGAAGGUGGGGACGACGUCAAAUCAUCAUGCCCCUUAUGACCUGGGCUACACACGUACUACAAUGGAUGUUAACAGAGGGAAGCAAGACAGCGAUGUGGAGCAAACCCCUAAAAACAUUCUCAGUUCAGAUUGCAGGCUGCAACCCGCCUGCAUGAAGAUGGAAUUGCUAGUAAUCGCGGAUCAGCAUGCCGCGGUGAAUACGUUCCCG
rnacentral:rRNA from 1 species